rnacentral:rRNA from 1 species
AGUAAUGUUGCGAUGAUCUGCUCUAGUUGUGUAAGAUAACCGCGGAAACCUGUGGCUAAGAGACUAGAAUGAGACGCAACCCUAUCAGUUUGUUGGUAGUGUAACGGACUACCAAGACUAUGACGGGUGACGGGAAAUCAGUGUUUGAUUCCGGAGAGGGAGCCUGAGAGAUGGCUCCCACGUCCAAGGAUGGCAGCAGGCGCGAAAAUUGUCCACUCUUUGUUGAGGAGACAGUUAUGAGGCGUGAUUGUAAGAGCGAAGAGUAAACAUCUUUGUGUAAUGCAACUAGAGGGCAAGUUUUGGUGCCAGCAGCCGCGGUAACUCCAACUCUAGAAGUGCCUAUUGUGGAUGCUGCAGUUAAAAAGUCCGUAGUCGUUGAUGCAAUUAAAAGGUGUAGAUCAAGUGCACCAAGUUUGUUAGUUGUGGCGGAGCGGACAGGGAGCAUGGUAUAGGUUGGCGAAGAAUGAAAUCUCAAGACCCAACCUGGACCAACUGAGGCGAAAGCGGUGCUCUUGUACGCGUCUGUGGAUCAAGGACGAAGGCUAGAGGAUCGAAAGUGAUUAGACACCGCUGUAGUUCUAGCAGUAAACUAUGCCGACAUUCUCUGUUGUUGAGACGGGGAGGGGAGAAAUCUUAGUUUUCGGGCUCUGGGGAUAGUACGCUUGCAAGAGUGAAACUUAAAGCGAAAUUGACGGAAGAUCACCACAAGGAGUGGAUUGUACUGCUUAAUUUGACUCAACACGGGAAAACUUACCAGGGCCAAGUCUCUCGUAGAUUGGCGACAUGAGAGGGGCAAGAGUGGUGCAUGGCCGUUGGAAAUUGAUGGGAUGACCUUUAGCUUAAGUGCUGUAACCAGUGAGAUCUUCUAGACAGGUGUCUUACUGACACAGGAAGGAGAAGGCUAUAACAGGUCCGUGAUGCCCUCAGAUGCCCUGGGCCGCAAGUGCAAUACAAUAUCCGUUUGAGCGACAUAAAUAUGCUUACGGAUGAGUAGGAUUAGCUCUUGUAAAUGAGCUAUGAAUGAGGAAUUCCUAGUAACUGUGUCUCAUCAAGGCACAGUGAAUGCGUCCCUGUUCUUUGUACACACCGCCCGUCACUAUUGCGGAUGGCAAUCAAGAUGAAGAGCCUAGGUUC